UAAAGUGUCACAGUAAGGUGUCACAGUAAGAAAGAUGGCACAGUAAGAAAGAUGGCACAGUAAGAAAGAUGGCACAGUAAGAUGUCACAGUAAAAUGUCACAGUAAGGUGUCACAGUAAGAAAGAUGGCACAGUAAGAUGGCACAAUAAGAUGCCACAGUAAGAAAGAUGUCAUAGUAAGAUGUCACCGUAAUUUGAAUCUGCUCUCCUAGAGAAGCCCCUUUGGGGGUUCUGUCCCAAAUUUGCCCAGAACCAGGACACCCCUAUUUCAUUUGUGGGGGGAUGCUGACCCACCUCGAAGGACUGGAAGGUCAGUCCCACGUGGUAGCCCUCGGACACGGUGAUUUUCCAGACGCACACCUUGCUGGGCCGGUAGUCAUCGGGAUAAUUAGGGGACUGGAUGUGGCCGUUGUCCUUCUUGACGUCCCCCCCGCAGAUGGCUGGAAGGGAGGAGCAGCAGCCUGAGCCCCCCCGGGCCCCCGGCCGCCCCCUGGGCCCCGCUGCUCCCCCCUACCUUCGUAGACGGCGAAGAAACCUUUGCCCACCCAGUUGCUGCUGCUGCGGAACUCCACCCACAGGCGGCUGUCGGUGGAGAUGAUGGGCUCGGGCAGCUUGUUCCCGCAGAACCUGCCUGGGGAGGAAGGCGUGCUGGGCUGCCGUGCUGGGACCCUCCUCUUCCUCACCGCCACCUGCUUUUCCUCACCACCUCCUGCUCUUCCUCAUCAUCACCUCCUCUUCCUCACUGCUACCACCUCUUCCUCACUGCCAUCUUCUUUUCCUCACUGCCACCUCUUCUUCACCACCACCUCCUCUUCCUGCUCACCAUCUCCUCUUCCUCACUGCCGUCUCCUCUUCCUCACCACCGUCUCCUCUUCCUCACCGCCACCUUCUCUUCCUCAUCACCAGCUCCUCUUCCUGCUCACCACCUCCUCUCCCUCACUGCUCCCUCCUCUUCCUCACUGCCAUCUCCUCUUCCUCAGCGCUAUCUCCUUUUCCUGGCUGCCACCUCCUUUUCCUCAUUAUCACCUCCUCUUCCUCACUGCCAUCUCCUCUUCCUGCUCACCAUCUCCUCUUCCUCACCGCCACCUGCUCUUCCUCACAGCCACCUCCUCUUCCUCACUGCCAUCUCCUCUUCCUUGCCCUCUCCUUCUCUUUCUUACAAUAAUCACCUCUUCCUUUCUGCUACCUUGUCUACCUCUUCAUGACCUCCUCUUCCUCACACCCCCUGCUCUUCCUCACUGCCAUCUCCUCUUCCCCACUGCCACCUCCUCUUCCUGCUCACCACCUCCUCUUCCUCACCGCCAUCUCCCUUUCCUCACCACCAUCUCCUCUUCCUCACUGCCAUCUCCUCCUCCUUGCCCUCUCCUUCUUUUUCUCAUCAUCAUCUUUUCCUUUCUGCCACCUUGUCUACCUCACCAUGACUUCCUCUUCCUCCUCAUGACCUUCACUUCAUCACCACCACCUCCUCUUCUUCAUCACCACCAACUUCUCUUCUUCCUCACCACUUCCUCUUCCUCACUUCCACCUCCUCCUGGUCCCCCCGCUGCCCCUUUCCAGCCCAAAGCCAAAGGCUGCUUCUCCCUCCACUCCUCCCCAGUCCUUUCUGGCGUUUCUGGCUGUUUCACGUCAGCUGCUGAUUCCAGAGGAUUUGGGAAUCCUGGGGUUUGGGGAACAUCUAGUUCAUGGGAUGGGGCUGGGAUCCUGCAGUGUCCCUGGGGAACACCACAGGGAUGGGGCUGGGAUCCUGGAAUCUCCCUGGGGAACAUCACAAGGACUAGAAUCUCCCUGGAGAGCAUCACAGGGAUGGGACGAGGACAAGGACACUGGAAUCUCCCUGGGGAACAUCCCAGGGACAGGACUGGGAUCCUGGAAUCUCCCUGGGGAGCAUCACAGGGACUGGAGUCCCCCUGAGGAACACCACAGGGAUGGGAUGAGGACAUUGGCAUCUCUUGGGGAACAUCACAGGGAUG
rnacentral:lncRNA from 1 species